UCAUUGUUAAGUUCUCAAACUUGGUGGUAAGAAGUUUAAGUCUUGACAUCUUCACCUUAGAGGUUCCACAUAAGCAGUCUUUAAUAUCUCCCAGGCAUCUUUAACAACAAUAUAAUUAUUUAUUAGUCCGAAGAUGUUCUUGUCCAUUCCAUUGAACAAGGCAUUCAAUGCUUUGGAGUUUCCCUGAGCUAAUUCGUCAUUUUCAC
rnacentral:lncRNA from 1 species